CAAGAUUAAAAAGGGUGGGGAAAGUGAUUUAUCUCAGGGUAGCUUCCUAGCUUCUGCUCCAGAUCUGAGUGUGCCUUCAGGAAAGAAGGAAGAGGCCUUGGGAGAACACUGAGUCUUCAGGAAAGAGUAACUAUUUGUCUGUCUUUUUUUUUUCUUUUGUUUUCUUUCUUUCUUUCUUUCUUUCUUUCUUUCUUUCUUUUUCUUUCUUUCUUUUUCUUUCUCUUUCUUUAUUCCUCUCUCCCUCUCUCUCUUUCUUCCUUUCUUUUUUUUUGAUCCAGCGAGACAGACUGGAUUUUUUCUUCUAAUUUUUUUUUUUAAUGAAACGUAUUUCCCCUGAGUCUCAGCAGCAGAGGGCCCUGGUCCUUGAGUCACUUCCUUGUUGCAGUUCUGAAUUCAUUAUUUUAUUAUAGCUUUUGAAUGACUGAUACAUGGUAGGCUCUGAUCAACCAAAAGGUUCCCAAUAAGGUGAAGAGAAAGAAAAGGAGUUUGAUAGUUUUCCAGAUUCCAAAAAAAUUAGCUUUCACAAGUUGCCAGGUGUCAAGAAUCUGAACAGGUAACCCUCUCUCAGCAUAUCUCAUCUGUCAGCAAUGGCUUGUGAAGAUGCAUGUGUAAACAGUAGGAACACAGACUUCUGGGAGACAGUACAAACUGGUGCUGCUGUCAUUUGGAACCAACUAGAACAUAGCUGGCAACCAUUUCUCCUGUUUCCUUUCUUCCACUGGCUUCACUUUUUUUUUUUUUUUUUUUGAGACAGAGUCUCAUACUUGUUGCCCAGGCUGGAGUGCAAUGGUGUGCUCUCGGCUCACCACAACCUCCGCCUCUCUUGGUUCAAGGGAUUCUUCUGCCUCAGCCUCCUGAGUAGCUGGGAUUACAGUCAUGUGCCACCACACCCAGCUAAUUUUUGUAUUUUUAGUAGAGACAGAGUUUCUCCGUGUUGGUCAGGCUGGUCUCGAACUCCCGACCUCAAGUGAUCUGCCUGCCUAGGCCUCCCAAAGUGCUGGGAUUACAGGCAGAGGCCUUACAUUUUUCACUGUUUCAAUCCUAACUUCCCACAGACAACUUCCCAGUACCACAAAUAUUCCCCAGCUUCUUCCAGUACCACAUGAGAAAUGGGCAAUCUUUUUUUUUUAACCACAGAUAAAAUAUAGUGGAUAACAAUGAUUAGCAUUUGCUAAGGCCAAGCCCUGUUCUUAGUGUUUUAUGAGUAUUAUCUCAUUGACUUCCUCCAACAACCUUCCUGAAAGAUAUAAUUAUUAUAUCCUAAUUUUAUAGCUGAGAAAUUUGAGGAACAGAGAGGAGAGUAACUUGCCCAAUGUCACACAGCUACUAAAGAGCAGAGCUGGGAUCCAAAACUGGGUCUGACUGCACAACCCAUGCUUUUUUAACCUCACAGUUCCGCCAGCGGGCCAAGAUUUUAACAUCUACGAAAUGCUGUUAAGAAGUAUAAUAGUUAGGUUUUUAUUUCCUUUCUCAAUGUUAUAUCCCCACCUGAGUAGAAGGACUCUGCUGGGUACUAUACCAAACUACCUACCUAUUUAUUUAUUUAUUUAUGUUUUUUUGAGACAGACUCUCACUCUGUUGCCUAGGCUAGAGUGCAGUGGCGCAAUCUCUGCUCACUACAACCUCCAUCUCCUGGGUUCAAACCUCCAGAGUAGCUGGGAUUACAGGUGCACACCACCACACCUGGCUAAUUUUUUGCACUUUUAGUAGAGACAGAGUUUCACCAUAUUGACCAGGCUGGUCUGGAACUCUUGGCCUCAAGCGAUCCUCCCAUCUCAACUUCCCAAAGUGCUGGGAUUACAGGCAUGAGCCACCGGGCCCAAUUAUUUAAUCCUGAUUAUGUAAGCAGUUUGAAGGAAAACUACAGUGUUCUUUGAUUUAGAAUAGAAGGCAGGAAGGCCUUCCCUGAAAAAGUGACACUGAGCUGAGAUCCAAAGGAUAAAUAGAAAUUGAGGAUGGGGGAAAGCAUACCCAGCAGAGGGAACAGUGUGUGCAAAGGCUCUGAGAAAGGAGCAUGGCUCAGCUGAGGAACUGAGAGGCCAGUGUUGUUGUUAUACUGAGAAGAAGAAGGAAGUAUCUUUAUUCAAAAAAAAAUUUUUUUCUAGACACGGGGUGUCACUAUGUAGCCCAGGCUAGUCCCAAACUCCUGGCCUCAAGCAAUCCUCCCACCUAGCCUCCCAAAGUGCUAGGAUUAUAGGUGUAAGCCACUGUGCCUGGCCAGAAGCAUGUUAGGUACUAUAGUGAGACAGGAAGAUAAUGCCAGGCCUGGGAGGCUGUAUUAAGAAUUUAGGUCUUUAUCUUAAGAAUGAAGAGAAAGAUUUUAAGCCUUCAAGUGAUCAGAGUUGCAUUUUUGAAAGAUUUCAUAAAGCUAGGAGGAGAAAGAAUUAGAAGGGUCUAGGGGAUUUGGGUAGCCCAGUCUGGAGUUUAUUGCAACUGUGUAGGGAAGUGAUGAUGGUGGCUUGAACCUUGGAUAAGACACAAUAAGUGUGUGGCUCACGCCUGUAAUCCUAACACUUUGGGAGGCCGAAGCGGGUGGAUCACCUGAGGUCAGGAGUUCAAGACCAGCCUGGCCAACAUGGUGAAACCCCAUCUCUACUAAAAAUACAAAAUUAGCCAGUCAUGGUGGUGCGUGCCUGUAAUCCCAGCAACUUAGGAGACUGAGGCAGGAGAAUCACUUGAACCCAGGAGGUGGAAGUUGCAGUGAGCCAAGAUCGUGCCAUUGCACUCCAGCCUAGGCAAAAAGAGCGAAACUCCAUCUAAAAAAAAAAAAGACACAAUAAAUGUGAAGUUGACUGAGCUAGGGUUCCUGGCCUUGGAGACAGUCCAGUAGGGGAGAGCAACUUAGAAAUAAAAAUAGUAUAUUGUGCUAUGAGCACUACUAGAGGUAAACCCAAAUAACUCUGGAAGCUCGGAGAAAAGAUAGAGGGAAGAUGGAAAAUGUAUUAGUUAUCUAUUGCUGCAUAUCAAAUUACCCCAGCAUUUAGCAGCUUAAAGUAAAAAUGAUAAACAUUUACUAGAUCACAGUUUCUGUGGGACAGGCAUGUUGGCAUGGCAUAGGUGAGUGUUUCUGAUUUAAGAUCUCCCACAAGAUUGCAGUCAAGCUGUCAGCUGCCAAUCCCAUCUGAGGGCUUGAAUGGGGGGAGAUCCACUUCCAAGUUCACUCAUGUGGUUGUUAGAAGGCCUUGAUCUCUCCCUACAUAGGCAGCCCUCUCCCCAGGGCUUCCUCACAACAUGGCCACUGACGUUCCGCAACGUGAGUGACCAAGAAAGAGAGCAAGAGAACCAAGAGUAUGUGAGAGAAAGCACCCAUGGAAAGAAGCCACAGUCUUUUUGUAACCUAAUCUCAGAAAUGGUCUUAUCACUUCUGCCAUACUCUAUUUAUUAGAAGUGAGUCAAUAAAUUCAGUCCACAUUCAAGAAAAGGGAAAUACACAAAGGUGAUGAAUACACAAAGGUGUGAAUAGCAGGAGGUGGGGAUCAUUGGGGUUCAUUUUAGUGGCUGCCUACCACAGUAGGUUCCACAGAGGAGGCAGUACAUGAGUAGUUGUAUUAAAGUUUUUCAGGAGCAUUUCAGGAGGAAGGGCUUUCCAGGCAAAGCAAAGGACGUGUGCAAAGAUACAGAGGCAUGGAAGAACUUCAUGUGUUCAGGAUACGCUGUUGGCCAUUCUGUGACCAGGCGAGAGGGGCUUGGGGAGUAUAAUUGAUUCAGCUGAGCAAAUUUGAAGAGGAGGUAAAGUAUCAUUGGUUGAAAGAUGAUACAUUUACUUCUUUGAAUUCUACCAGCAUACCUGCAUCUUUGUGAAAAAUAUAUACAUACGAAUAUAUUCAUUAAAGCAUCAUCUUUAUAUUAGUUUGCUAGGGCUGCCAUAACAGAGGACCACAAACUGGGUGGCUUAAACAACAAAUUUAUUGUCUCAGAAUGCUGGAGGCUAGAAGUCUGAGAUCAAAAUGCCAGCAGGAUUGGUUCUUUCUUUUUUUAUUUUUCACACAGGGUCUCACUCUGCCACCCAGGCUGGAGUGCAGUGGCACGAUCUCGGCUCCCUGCAACCUCCGUCUCCUGGGUUCAAGCGAUUCUCCUACCUCAGCCUCCCGAGUAGCUGGGACUACAUGCGCGCCACCAUGCCCAGCUAAUUUUUAUAUUUUUAGUAGAGUUGAGGUCUAACCAUGUUGGCUAGGCUGGUCUCAAAUUCCUGACCUUAAAUGAUCCGCCCACCUUGGCCUCCCAAAGUGCUGGGAUUACCUGUGUGAGCCACUGCGCCUGGCCUAAGAUUGGUUCUUUCGGAGCACCCAACUUCUGAGGGUUGCCAGGGAAAUAAUUUGUUCCAGGUCUCUCUCCUUGACAUGUAGAUGGUCAUUGUCUCCUGUCUUCAUAUUGUCUUCCCUCCUUAAAUGUCUCUAUCCAAAUUUCUGCUUCUUUAAGGAGACCAGUCAUAUUGGAUUAGGGCCCCCACUAAUGAUGUCAUUUUAUCUUAAUUACUUUGUAAAGACCCUGCCUCUAAAUGAGGUCACAUUCUGAGAUAUUAAGGGUUAGAAAUUAAUCAUAUGAGUUUGGGGGGAGGGUACACAAUUCCACCCAUAUGUUCCAUGAAAGGGCUAUAUAUGCAAAGCAACCUGCAGACACAAAAGGAACCAAGAAACCAAAGAAUAAGGAAGACAAAUCUGGUUUGUUGGUAUAGAGUAUUUUAUUAGGGAGCUUACGGACAAAAGUAUGGUCUUCGGUGGCCACAAGACAGGUAGUUCUUCACACCACAAACCCCCUGAUCCAGGGCUUAUAUUUUGAAUCAUACAUGCUCUGGGAGAAAUGUGUAGAUGGUUAUGGACCUCACAGCCUGUGAUUUAUGCAAUGACAUCAGGGGUGGUUUUGAAGGAAAGACAAAACUUACAGUGAAUAGGUGUUUCUACAUAAAGAGUAAUAACUAGACAUCUUGGAGGUAUUCCUGGACUGGGGGUUAGUCAGGAGUCACAUGGCAGAUUAGCAUCUAAAAUACAGUCACUCUUGUCCCCACACCAUAAAAAUCAUGUGAUGGGAAAAGAGUGAAAACAACUAAAUGCUCAUCAAUAGGGAAUGGGUAAAUAGGUUAUGGUAUAUCAUAAAAUGGAAUACUAUGCAGCUGUUAAAAAGAUGUACUGAUAAGAAUAUUUUCCAUUGUGGAAUAAUCUCCAAUAUAUUUUAUUAAGGGAAAAGGGCAAGUUGCCAAGUAAUCUAUGGCAUGCCAGUAUUUAUGUUAAAAAAUGGAAUGUGUUGUAAUAGCAUAGGAUAUCUCUGGAAAUAUACACAAAUAUACACAAGAAACUGGUAAUAGUGGCUACAUACGUAAAGAGGAACUGGGAGCCUGAGGGUCAGCAAUAGGAGGGAGCCUUUUUACUAUAUACUCCUGUUGUACAGGUUGACUUUGUUACCAUGGGCAUGUAUUACUUUCAAAUUAAAAAAGAAAGAAGUAGGUGCAGCAAACCACCAUGGCAAAUGUAUACCUGUGUAACAAACCUGCACGUUCUGCAUAUGUAUCCCAGAACUUAAAGUAAAAUAAAAAAAGAAGCAUAAGGGAGCUUGGUAAUUUUGGUAUGAAGUAUAUUUAGUCUGAACAAAACUGAAGUUUAUGUCUAUGUUUUUAAAGUUGAUGUUGGCUGGGCGCCAGUGGCUCACGCCUGUAAUCACAGCACUUUGGGGGGCCGAGGCG
rnacentral:lncRNA from 10 species